UACGGGGGGAGCAAGCGUUGUUCGGAUUUACUGGGCGUAAAGGGCGCGUAGGCGGCCACCGCAAGUCGACUGUGAAAUCUCCGGGCUUAACUCGGAAAGGUCAGCCGAUACUGCGGGCUAGAGUGCAGAAGGGGCAACUGGAAUUCUCGGUGUAGCGGUGAAAUGCGUAGAUAUCAAGAGGAACACCUGCGGCGAAGGCGGGUUGCUGGGCCGACACGUGACGCUGAGGAGCGAAGCCAGGGAGCAAACGGG
rnacentral:rRNA from 1 species